AUUGGGUAGGGGAGCGUUCUGUAAGCCGUUGAAGGUGAAUCGUAAGGUUUGCUGGAGGUAUCAGAAGUGCGAAUGCUGACAUGAGUAACGACAAAGGGGGUGAAAAACCUCCUCGCCGGAAGACCAAGGGUUCCUGUCCAACGUUAAUCGGGGCAGGGUGAGUCGACCCCUAAGGUGAGGCCGAAAGGCGUAAUCGAUGGGAAACGGGUUAAUAUUCCCGUACUUCUGACUAUUGCGAUGGGGGGACGGAGAAGGCUAGGUGGGCCAGGCGACGGUUGUCCUGGUUCAAGUGCGUAGGCUUGAGAGUUAGGUAAAUCCGGCUCUCUCUAAGGCUGAGACACGACGUCGAGCUGCUACGGCAGUGAAGUCAUUGAUGCCAUGCUUCCAGGAAAAGCCUCUAAGCUUCAGAUAGUCAGGAAUCGUACCCCAAACCGACACAGGUGGUCGGGUAGAGAAUACCAAGGCGCUUGAGAGAACUCGGGUGAAGGAACUAGGCAAAAUGGUACCGUAACUUCGGGAGAAGGUACGCUCUUGAUGGUGAAGUCCCUCGCGGAUGGAGCUGACGAGAGUCGCAGAUACCAGGUGGCUGCAACUGUUUAUUAAAAACACAGCACUGUGCAAAAUCGCAAGAUGACGUAUACGGUGUGACGCCUGCCCGGUGCCGGAAGGUUAAUUGAUGGGGUUAGCGCAAGCGAAGCUCUUGAUCGAAGCCCCGGUAAACGGCGGCCGUAACUAUAACGGUCCUAAGGUAGCGAAAUUCCUUGUCGGGUAAGUUCCGACCUGCACGAAUGGCGUAAUGAUGGCCACGCUGUCUCCACCCGAGACUCAGUGAAAUUGAAAUCGCUGUGAAGAUGCAGUGUACCCGCGGCUAGACGGAAAGACCCCGUGAACCUUUACUACAGCUUGGCACUGAACAUUGAACCUACAUGUGUAGGAUAGGUGGGAGGCUAUGAAGACGUGACGCCAGU
rnacentral:rRNA from 1 species